rnacentral:rRNA from 1 species
AUUGAACGCUGGCGGCAUGCUUUACAUAUGCAAGUCGAACGGUAACAGGCCGCAAGGUGCUGACGAGUGGCGAACGGGUGAGUAAUGCAUCGGAACGUGCCCAGUCGUGGGGGAUAACGCAGCGAAAGCUGUGCUAAUACCGCAUACGAUCUAUGGAUGAAAGCGGGGGACCGUAAGGCCUCGCGCGAUUGGAGCGGCCGAUGGCAGAUUAGGUAGUUGGUGGGGUAAAGGCCCACCAAGCCGACGAUCUGUAGCUGGUCUGAGAGGACGACCAGCCACACUGGGACUGAGACACGGCCCAGACUCCUACGGGAGGCAGCAGUGGGGAAUUUUGGACAAUGGGCGCAAGCCUGAUCCAGCCAUGCCGCGUGCAGGAUGAAGGCCUUCGGGUUGUAAACUGCUUUUGUACGGAACGAAAAGACUCUGGUUAAUACCUGGGGUCCAUGACGGUACCGUAAGAAUAAGCACCGGCUAACUACGUGCCAGCCGCCGCAGUAAAAC